AACGAACGCUGGCGGCAUGCCUAACACGUGCAAGUCGAACGAGACCUUCGAGUCUAGUGGCGCACGGGUGCGUAACGCGUGGGAACCUGCCCUUAGGUUCGGAAUAACUCCCCGAAAGGGGUGCUAAUACCGGAUAAUGUCUUCGGACCAAAGAUUUAUCGCCUUUGGAUGGGCCCGCGUUGGAUUAGCUAGUUGGUAGGGUAAAAGCCUACCAAGGCGACGAUCCAUAGCUGGUCUGAGAGGAUGAUCAGCCACACUGGGACUGAGACACGGCCCAGACUCCUACGGGAGGCAGCAGUGGGGAAUAUUGGACAAUGGGCGAAAGCCUGAUCCAGCAAUGCCGCGUGAGUGAUGAAGGCCUUAGGGUUGUAAAGCUCUUUUACCCGGGAUGAUAAUGACAGUACCGGGAGAAUAAGCGCCGGCUAACUCCGUG
rnacentral:rRNA from 1 species